AGCGAGCGGAACUAACAGAUUUACUUCGGUAAUGACGUUAGGAAAGCGAGCGGCGGAUGGGUGAGUAACACGUGGGGAACCUGCCCCAUAGUCUGGGAUACCACUUGGAAACAGGUGCUAAUACCGGAUAAGAAAGCAGAUCGCAUGAUCAGCUUUUAAAAGGCGGCGUAAGCUGUCGCUAUGGGAUGGCCCCGCGGUGCAUUAGCUAGUUGGUAAGGUAAAGGCUUACCAAGGCGAUGAUGCAUAGCCGAGUUGAGAGACUGAUCGGCCACAUUGGGACUGAGACACGGCCCAAACUCCUACGGGAGGCAGCAGUAGGGAAUCUUCCACAAUGGACGCAAGUCUGAUGGAGCAACGCCGCGUGAGUGAAGAAGGUUUUCGGAUCGUAAAGCUCUGUUGUUGGUGAAGAAGGAUAGAGGUAGUAACUGGCCUUUAUUUGACGGUAAUCAACCAGAAAGUCACGGCUAACUACGUGCCAGCAGCCGCGGUAAUACGUAGGUGGCAAGCGUUGUCCGGAUUUAUUGGGCGUAAAGCGAGCGCAGGCGGAAGAAUAAGUCUGAUGUGAAAGCCCUCGGCUUAACCGAGGAACUGCAUCGGAAACUGUUUUUCUUGAGUGCAGAAGAGGAGAGUGGAACUCCAUGUGUAGCGGUGGAAUGCGUAGAUAUAUGGAAGAACACCAGUGGCGAAGGCGGCUCUCUGGUCUGCAACUGACGCUGAGGCUCGAAAGCAUGGGUAGCGAACAGGAUUAGAUACCCUGGUAGUCCAUGCCGUAAACGAUGAGUGCUAAGUGUUGGGAGGUUUCCGCCUCUCAGUGCUGCAGCUAACGCAUUAAGCACUCCGCCUGGGGAGUACGACCGCAAGGUUGAAACUCAAAGGAAUUGACGGGGGCCCGCACAAGCGGUGGAGCAUGUGGUUUAAUUCGAAGCAACGCGAAGAACCUUACCAGGUCUU
rnacentral:rRNA from 1 species